rnacentral:rRNA from 1 species
UAGCGGCGGACGGGUGAGUAACGCGUGAGAAACCUGCCUUUCACAAAGGGAUAGCCUCGGGAAACUGGGAUUAAUACCAUAUGAUACUAAUAGAUCGCAUGAUUUAUUAGUUAAAGCGCAAAGCGGUGAAAGAUGGUCUCGCGUCCCAUUAGUUAGUUGGUGAGGUAACGGCUCACCAAGACCGCGAUGGGUAGCCGGCCUGAGAGGGUGAACGGCCACACUGGAACUGAGACACGGUCCAGACUCCUACGGGAGGCAGCAGUGGGGAAUAUUGCACAAUGGAGGAAACUCUGAUGCAGCGACGCCGCGUGAACGAUGAAGGCCUUCGGGUCGUAAAGUUCUGUCCUUGGGGACGAUAAUGACGGUACCCAAGGAGGAAGCCCCGGCUAACUACGUGCCAGCAGCCGCGGUAAUACGUAGGGGGCGAGCGUUGUCCGGAAUUAUUGGGCGUAAAGGGUUCGCAGGCGGUCCUUUAAGUCAGAUGUGAAAUGCAUAGGCUUAACCUAUGUUAGCAUUUGAAACUGGAGGACUUGAGUUAAGGAGAGGAAAGUGGAAUUCCUAGUGUAGCGGUGAAAUGCGUAGAUAUUAGGAGGAAUACCAGUGGCGAAGGCGACUUUCUGGACGACAACUGACGCUGAGGCGCGAAAGCGUGGGGAGCAAACAGGAUUAGAUACCCUGGUAGUCCACGCCGUAAACGAUGGAUACUAGGUGUAGGAGGUAUCGACCCCUUCUGUGCCGGAGUUAACACAAUAAGUAUCCCACCUGGGGAGUACGGCCGCAAGGCUGAAACUCAAAGGAAUUGACGGGGGCCCGCACAAGCAGUGGAGUAUGUGGUUUAAUUCGAAGCAACGCGAAGAACCUUACCAGGGCUUGACAUACAGACGGAUGGUGUGGAAACACAUCAGACCUUCGGGACGUCUGUACAGGUGGUGCAUGGUUGUCGUCAGCUCGUGUCGUGAGAUGUUGGGUUAAGUCCCGCAACGAGUGCAACCCCUGUUGUUAGUUGCCAUCAUUAAGUUGGGCACUCUAACGAGACUGCCGGUGACAAAUCGGAGGAAGGUGGGGACGACGUCAAAUCAUCAUGCCCCUUAUGUCCUGGGCUACACACGUACUACAAUGGCUAUUACAGCAGGAAGCGAAGGAGUAAUCCGGAGCAGAUCCCAAAAAAUAGUCCCAGUUCGGAUUGUGGGCUGCAACUCGCCCACAUGAAGUCGGAAUUGCUAGUAAUGGCAGGUCAGCAUACUGCCGUGAAUACGUUCCCGGGCCUUGUACACACCGCCCGUCACACCAUGAGAGUCUGCAACACCCGAAGUCAGUAGUCUAAC